AUUGAACGCUGGCGGCAUGCCUUACACAUGCAAGUCGAACGGCAGCACGGGAGCAAUCCUGGUGGCGAGUGGCGAACGGGUGAGUAAAGUAUCGGAACGUGCCCAGUCGUGGGGGAUAACGUAGCGAAAGUUACGCUAAUACCGCAUACGAUCUAUGGAUGAAAGCGGGGGAUCGCAAGACCUCGCGCGAUUGGAGCGGCCGAGAUCAGAUUAGGUAGUUGGGGGGGUAAAGGCUCACCAAGACGACGAUCUGUAGCUGGUCUGAGAGGACGACCAGCCACACUGGGACUGAGACACGGCCCAGAAGCAUACGGGAGGCAGCAGUGGGGAAUUUUGGGCAAUGGGCGAAAGCCUGAUCCAGCCAUGCCGCGUGCAGGAUGAAGGCCUUCGGGUUGUAAACUGCUUUUGUACGGAACGAAAAGGUUUGGCCUAAUAAGCUGAGCUCAUGACGGUACCGUAAGAAUAAGCACCGGCUAACUACGUGCCAGCAGCCGCGGUAA
rnacentral:rRNA from 1 species